GCACAAGCGGUGGAUGAUGUGGUUUAAUUCGAUGCAACGCGAAAACCUUACCUACCCUUGACAUGUCCGGAAUCCUGCAGAGAUGCGGGAGUGCCGAAAGGGAAUCGGAACACAGGUGCUGCAUGGCUGUCGUCAGCUCGUGUCGUGAGAUGUUGGGUUAAGUCCCGCAACGAGCGCAACCCUUAUCAUUAGUUGCUACGCAAGGGCACUCUAAUGAGACUGCCGGUGACAAACCGGAGGAAGGUGGGGAUGACGUCAAGUCCUCAUGGCCCUUAUGGGUAGGGCUUCACACGUCAUACAAUGGUCGGUACAGAGGGUUGCCAAGCCGCGAGGUGGAGCCAAUCCCAGAAAGCCGAUCGUAGUCCGGAUUGUUCUCUGCAACUCGAGAGCAUGAAGUCGGAAUCGCUAGUAAUCGCGGAUCAGCAUGUCGCGGUGAAUACGUUCCCGGGUCUU
rnacentral:rRNA from 1 species